AGGAUGAACGCUGGCGGCGUGCCUAACACAUGCAAGUCGAACGUCCUGUCUCGCAAGAGGCAGGGAGUGGCGGACGGGUGAGUACCACGUGGGUCAUCUACCGUGAGGUGAGGAAUACCGGCGAGAAAUCGCCGACAAGACCGCAUAGCCUCGGUGCAAGCCGAGGAAAGCUCUUUCGAGAGAGGGAGCGCCACACGAGGAGCCUGCGCCCGAUUAGCUAGCUGGUGGAGUAACGGUUCACCAGGGCGACGAUCGGUAGCUGGUCUGAGAGGACGAUCAGCCACACUGGGAUUGAGAACGGCCCAGACUCCUACGGGGGGCAGCAGUGAGGAAUUUCGUCAAUGGGGCAACCCUGAACGAGCAACGCCGCGUGCAGGAAGAAGGUUUUCGGAUCGUAAACUGCUUUUCGUCGGGGAAGAGAACGGACGGUACCCGAGGAAUCAGCCCCGGCUAACUACGUGCCAGCAGCCGCGGUAA
rnacentral:rRNA from 1 species